AACGCGAAGAACCUUACCAAGGCUUGACAUAUACUGGACCGCAUCAGAGAUGGUGUUUCCCUUCGGGGCUGGUAUACAGGUGGUGCAUGGUUGUCGUCAGCUCGUGUCGUGAAAUGUUGGGUUAAGUCCCGCAACGAGCGCAACCCUCGUUCUAUGUUGCCAGCACGUUAUGGUGGGGACUCAUAGGAGACUGCCGGGGUCAACUCGGAGGAAGGUGGGGAUGACGUCAAAUCAUCAUGCCCCUUAUGUCCAGGGCUUCACGCAUGCUACAAUGGCCGGUACAAAGGGCUGCGAUCCUGUGAGGGUGAGCGAAUCCCAAAAAGCCGGUCUCAGUUCGGAUUGGGGUCUGCAACUCGACCCCAUGAAGUCGGAGUCGCUAGUAAUCGCAGAUCAGCACGC
rnacentral:rRNA from 1 species